rnacentral:rRNA from 1 species
UCAGAUUGAACGCUGGCGGCAGGCCUAACACAUGCAAGUCGAACGGUAACAGGAAGCAGCUUGCUGCUUCGCUGACGAGUGGCGGACGGGUGAGUAAUGUCUGGGAAACUGCCUGAUGGAGGGGGAUAACUACUGGAAACGGUAGCUAAUACCGCAUAACGUCGCAAGACCAAAGAGGGGGACCUUCGGGCCUCUUGCCAUCGGAUGUGCCCAGAUGGGAUUAGCUAGUAGGUGGGGUAACGGCUCACCUAGGCGACGAUCCCUAGCUGGUCUGAGAGGAUGACCAGCCACACUGGAACUGAGACACGGUCCAGACUCCUACGGGAGGCAGCAGUGGGGAAUAUUGCACAAUGGGCGCAAGCCUGAUGCAGCCAUGCCGCGUGUAUGAAGAAGGCCUUCGGGUUGUAAAGUACUUUCAGCGGGGAGGAAGGCGAUAAGGUUAAUAACCUUGUCGAUUGACGUUACCCGCAGAAGAAGCACCGGCUAACUCCGUGCCAGCAGCCGCGGUAAUACGGAGGGUGCAAGCGUUAAUCGGAAUUACUGGGCGUAAAGCGCACGCAGGCGGUCUGUCAAGUCGGAUGUGAAAUCCCCGGGCUCAACCUGGGAACUGCAUUCGAAACUGGCAGGCUAGAGUCUUGUAGAGGGGGGUAGAAUUCCAGGUGUAGCGGUGAAAUGCGUAGAGAUCUGGAGGAAUACCGGUGGCGAAGGCGG